CACGCCUUUUCCCACCCCCCGACUCUGCCUCGGCGAUGAGUCCGCUGUCUGGAUCCCUUUACCCAGGAGUGGGCUGAGGACCCAGCGGUUCGGCAGCGGGGAUCAUCGCACCACGCUCCUGGACCCCUACAACCUCCUGUUCUCCAGCGGCCUCCAGCAUGACCACCGGGCUAGGAGCAGGCAUCCGGGCUGCCGGAGCGCUCGCUGCUCAGUGGCUCAGCCCUGCGCCGCCUUUGCCGGGAGCGGGGAUCCGAGGUGGGAGAAGGCCUCUUCGCCCGGCUCCUGGGCACAGCUACCUGCCUGAACAGCUGCCUGGCACCGAGCCUGCGCUCCCCGAGCACCCGGCCGCGGGUCCGCGACGCCUUCCGGGGCUGAGUAGCCGAAAACUAUCUCCUACUGCAAGUCUUUUCCAGUCCCAUGCUGAGUAUUGUUAUCCCAAUAGUUCUUUAAUGUCAGUGUGUGUGUAUUCCUGGGCGACUAUGCUCGUGUGGUCUACGGAGUUGUGGAGGUCACAGUUCUAGGACAGCCAUUUCAUAGGCCUCUGCUGCAGAAUCUACCCCGGAAGAGAGAGCCCAGAGAAUUGCCAAAGCUGUCUGCAAGCAGUCAAUUGACGUGAAGGAAAAUUGGGAGCAAUUGAAAACCCAUGCGAGCAACUGGCAGAACAAGGUGGAAAAGGCGUUAGAGAAACUUCAAGAACUGCAGAAAGCUCUGGAUGAUCUUGAGUCUCAUGUGAUAACAGCUGAGGGGGUCCACAUUGAUUGGCAACCUGUGAAUGACCUGUUUAUUGACGCAUUGCAGGAUCACAUGGAUAAAACCACAGUUAAGGACUGCCUGCAAAAUCUGAGAUUGGGUUUUGAAACACAUCAACCUUUGCUUGCGAGAGAUAAUGGUAACUGCAGAUGCUAGAGAAUGCGAGAUAACAAUGUGUGGAGCUGGAUGAACACAGCAGGCCAAGCAGCAUCUCAGGAGCACAAAAGUUGACAUUUCGGGCCUCGACCCUUCAUGCGAGAGAACGUAACGUUUUUAAAGAAGAAAUUGCCCCAGUCAAACAAGAAGUCAAAAUAUUAAAUGAUCUGGGAUGUCAGUUAUCUCCGCUUGAUGUCUCUUUCUCUCCAAAGAUUUCUCACCAGCUUGAUGACCUAAAUAUGAGGUUGAAAUUUAUACAGUUUGCACUUUAGAAUGUAAUCGCAAAACAAAAUCCAAAUAGUGAGAGAUGUGAGCAUCCGAACUACAGUCUGAAAUGGUUCAGGACUGGAACAAUUUGAAUAUAUUCAGGAUGAAGCUGCAGGUAGCAGCAGCAGGAGGUGAGGAGGCAGAGACUGCAACCCUGAGGUCACGGAGGGAAGGAAAAGAGGCUCUUACUUGGAGAUUGAGAAGCAGGAGAGGGCACAACCCAGAGGUUUGGGAGUGGAGAGAGGCUGCAAGUUGGAGGUCAAGGUGAUUUAAACACCGUGCGUUUUUCUGCAUAUCGGCCAGCAAUGAAGAUCCGCCGACUCCAGAAAGCACUCUGUUACCACAUCAGGUGAAGAUGUGUGUGAUUUCACCAAGGUGCUGAAAAAUAACUUCAGAUCAAAGAAAUACUUUGCCAAACAUCCUCGCUUGGGUUAUUUACCACUACAAACAGUCCUAGAAGG